UGGUAACAUGAAUACCUGUGGUUCUCUGAGGAUAACCCAUGUGGCAUAGGCUGCCUGAUCCUCUGACUUCUGGGGAUUCUCGUAUGUCAACAGCUUCCUACCUCACCGUUGGAACAUUGGGACUACAGAUGUGUGAUACUGUGCCCUGUGUUAUAGAAAAAUUAACGAAUAAAACGAAGCAGUCGUAAUUCAUCCUGGCUCCAGAAGCCUGUUCUUGUGACAGAGUUCCAGGGGGAGAGUGCCAGGAAGUAGCUGUACCGGGUGAGCUGAGGGUUCAGGAGCAUGAGUGUGGCUGUGAGAAAAUAAAGACCCCAUCUGUAUUAGUAA